rnacentral:rRNA from 1 species
UAAUACGGAGGGUCCGAGCGUUGUCCGGAAUUAUUGGGUUUAAAGGGUACGUAGGCGGAAUACUAAGUCAGAGGUGAAAUCCUGCAGCUCAACUGUAGAACUGCCUUUGAAACUGUUAUUCUUGAGUAUGGUAGGGGUAAGCGGAAUUUAUAAUGUAGCGGUGAAAUGCAUAGAUAUUAUAAAGAACACCGAUAGCGAAGGCAGCUUACUGGACCAUAACUGACGCUAAUGUACGAAAGCGUGGGUAGCGAACAGGAUUAGAUACCCUGGUAGUCCACGCCGUAAACGAUGCUCACUCGCUGUUGGCGAUAGACAGUCAGCGGCCAAGCGAAAGCGUUAAGUGAGCCACCUGGGGAGUACGAUCGCAAGGUUG